CUCAGAUCAUGUAAGAUUUUAAUGAUCGAACAGAUCAAAAUUUUAAACUUUUGCAUUUAAAUUUUAUCUUAAUCCAACAUCGAGGUCGCAAACUUUUUUUUUUAUUUGAACUAAAAAAAAAUAUUACGCUGUUAUCCCUAAGGUAAUUUUUUCUUAUAAUCAUUAUUAAUGGAUCAUUUAAUCAUUUAUUUAUGUUUAAUUUUUAAAAAAAGUUCAUUAAAUUUUUCUAUCACCCCAAUACAAUAAUUAAUUUUAUUUUAAUAAAAAAUUUAAUAUAAUUUUAAAAUAAAAAUAAAUAUAAAACUCUAUAGGGUCUUCUCGUCUUUUAAAAUUAUUUUAGCUUUUUAACUAAAAAAUAAAUUUCUAAAAAUAAAUAAGAGACAGUCUAUAUUUCAUCAAAUCUUUCAUACAAGUUUCCAAUUAAAAAACUAUUGAUUAUGCUACCUUUGUACAGUCAUUAUACUGCAGCCCUUUAAUAAUUAUCAGUGGGCAGAUUAGACUUUAAAUUAUAAUCAAAAAGACAUGUUUUUG
rnacentral:rRNA from 1 species